rnacentral:rRNA from 1 species
UACGUAGGGUGCAAGCGUUAAUCGGAAUUACUGGGCGUAAAGCGUGCGCAGGCGGUGAUGUAAGACAGAUGUGAAAUCCCCGGGCUUAACCUGGGAACUGCAUUUGUGACUGCAUGGCUAGAGUGCGGCAGAGGGGGAUGGAAUUCCGCGUGUAGCAGUGAAAUGCGUAGAUAUGCGGAGGAACACCGAUGGCGAAGGCAAUCCCCUGGGCCUGCACUGACGCUCAUGCACGAAAGCGUGGGGAGCAAACAGG